CCAGACUGGGUCCUACAUAACAUUUAGCUGGGUUACUCUUCUGAGCCUCAGUUUCCUCAUCUGUAAAAUGAGAAUAACAGCAUUAGCCUCGUCUAUUUCCUAAGGACAGUUUGAGGCUCAGAAGAGAAAAGAGCAAUGAGUGUGCUUUGACAUUGUCCACCAAUAGAUACAUGUAAGGGAUUAUACUAGUCGACUGUAGUACUUCUUGACCAGGGCUCCCACCACAGCCUUCCACCUCUACUUCUAGAGUGUCAGGGGGAGAUCUGUGUCCCAGGAAAGGCAGGUCAAUCACACAACCAUUCACUUUGUAUUCAACCACCAUCUACAGAGAGCCUACUGUGUGCCGGGCACUGAGCAUAGCGAGAUGAAAAACCAGCCUGCCCGCAAGGACUCCAGAGGUCUACUGCAGCCCAUGAGAAGGACACACUUUGGAUCCUGUCUCCACGGUUUGAAACGAAGAAAAAGCAACUGCGCAAACAAGCUCAGACUAGCGGAGGAGACAAAUAAUCUACUUCCAUUGGCAGCCCUUGAUGAGCAAGCCACCAGGUGGAACCAGUAAAACGUGAAGGACUGAAGCCGAUUGGUCAAGAGAUGGACGCCUUAUUCGAAGGGAGUCAAUCCACCAACAGGUCCGCUAUUUGUGGGUUUUGUGGCCAAGUUGGGAAAGAUGAGCUUGACCUAACAUAUUCUCCUCUCAAGAAAUAACACACCUUGUCCAAUCCAAGGUAGCCAAUUGAAUGGAAACGCUGUGAAGUAUCACGGCUGGGGCAGGAUGUUUGCCGGCAUGUGCAAGACUGAGUCAAGAAGAAAUAAGACCCGGAGGAAGACAGUUGCAAGGGAGCUAGAAGAAAGCUGAGCAGUUGCACCUUCAGCAGCAGAAAAACCAUCAGAGAGACAGAGAGGGUCGCUGGUCCCAAGAUGACCGGCUCCUGUCCUCUCUGAGGCUCCUGGUUCGUUUUUGCUUUCCUCAGAUUUUUUGAUCUUUAUGUUAAACCUUCGUUUUACUUGUGCUAUUUCCAGCAUGUUUCUUUUUCCUGCAAUCAAAAGAACUCUGACUAGAACACAGCGUUGGUGACACAGAGGCAAAAUGGUUGCUUUCAUACGUGUGGAGGCCAGUGUCAGACACCUUAAAAAAGCAGAUUCAGCAAUUCUACAUCUUGUUCUUGAUGCUCAGGAUAAAAUCGCAGAACUGGAUGGGACAUAUCACUUCAUUGAGUGUUCACCACGUGUACUGAUGCUUUACACAUCAAAUCAUUUUAUCCUCACAACAAACGGAGAUUAGAAAAUUCCUAUGCUUGUUCUAUAGAUGAAG
rnacentral:lncRNA from 1 species